GAUGAACGCUAGCGGCAGGCCUAAUACAUGCAAGUCGAACGAUACCAAGGGGCUUGCUCCUUGGAAAAGUGGCGCACGGGUGAGUAACGCGUGGGAACGUACCUUUUGGUUCGGAACAACUGAGGGAAACUUCAGCUAAUACCGGAUAAGCUCUUACGGGGAAAGAUUUAUCGCCGAAAGAUCUGCCCGCGUCUGAUUAGCUAGUUGGUGAGGUAAUGGCCCACCAAGGCGACGGUCAGUAGCUGGUCUGAGAGGAGGAUCAGCCACAUUGGGACAGAGACACGGACGAAACUCCUACGGGAGGCAGCAGUGGGGAAUAUUGGACAAUGGGCGAAGGCCUGAUCCGGCCAUGCCGCGUGAGUGAUGAAGGCCCUAGGGUUGUAAGGCUCUUUUGUGCGGGAAGAUAAUGACGGUACCGAAAGAAUAAGCCCCGGCUAACUUCGUGCCAGCCGCCGCAGUAA
rnacentral:rRNA from 1 species